GAUUGAACGCUGGCGGUAUGCUUAACACAUGCAAGUCGAACGGAAACGAUACUAGCUUGCUAGUAGGCGUCGAGUGGCGGACGGGUGAGUAACGCGUAGGAAUCUGCCUGAUAGUGGGGGAUAGCCCGAAGAAAUUCGGAUUAAUACCGCAUAAUCUAUUCGUAGUAAAGUGGGGGACUUUCGAGCCUCACGCUAUCAGAUGAGCCUGCGUAAGAUUAGCUUGUUGGUAGGGUAAAAGCCUACCAAGGCGACGAUCUUUAGCUGGUCUGAGAGGAUGAUCAGCCACAUCGGGACUGAGACACGGCCCGAACUCCUACGGGAGGCAGCAGUGGGGAAUAUUGGACAAUGGGGGCAACCCUGAUCCAGCAAUACCGCGUGUGUGAAGAAGGCCUGAGGGUUGUAAAGCACUUUCAAUUGUGAAGAAAAGUUAGCGGUUAAUAACCGUUAGCCUUGACGUUAACUUUAGAAGAAGCACCGGCUAACUCCGUGCCAGCAGCCGCGGUAAUACGGAGGGUGCAAGCGUUAAUCGGAAUUACUGGGCGUAAAGCGUGCGUAGCGGUUUAUUAAGUCAGAUGUGAAAGCCCCGGGCUUAACCUGGGAACUGCAUUUGAAACUGGUCAACUAGAGUAUGGUAGAGAAAAGUGGAAUUUCUGGUGUAGCGGUGAAAUGCGUAGAUAUCAGAAGGAACAUCAAUGGCGAAGGCAGCUUUCUGGACCAAUACUGACGCUGAGGUACGAAAGCGUGGGUAGCAAACAGGAUUAGAUACCCUGGUAGUCCACGCCGUAAACGAUGAUAACUAGCCGUUGGAGGGAUUUACCCUUUAGUGGCGAAGCUAACGCGUUAAGUUAUCCGCCUGGGGAGUACGGCCGCAAGGUUAAAACUCAAAGGAAUUGACGGGGACCCGCACAAGCGGUGGAGCAUGUGGUUUAAUUCGAUGCAACGCGAAGAACCUUACCUGGUCUUGACAUCCUGCGAACUUUCUAGAAAUAGAUUGGUGCCUUCGGGAACGCAGUGACAGGUGCUGCACGGCUGUCGUCAGCUCGUGUCGUGAGAUGUUGGGUUAAGUCCCGUAACGAGCGUAACCCCUAUCCUUAUUUGCCAGCACAUCAUGGUGGGAACUAUAAGGAGACUGCCGGUGAUAAACCGGAGGAAGGCGGGGACGACGUCAAGUCAUCAUGGCCCUUACGACCAGGGCUACACACGUGCUACAAUGGGAAGGACAAAGAGCCGCGAAGCCGCGAGGUGUAGCUAAUCUCAUAAACCUUUUCGUAGUCCGGAUUGGAGUCUGCAACUCGACUCCAUGAAGUCGGAAUCGCUAGUAAUCGUAGAUCAGAAUGCUACGGUGAAUACGUUCCCGGGUCUUGUACACACCGCCC
rnacentral:rRNA from 1 species